rnacentral:rRNA from 1 species
UACAGGGGUCUCAAGCGUUGUUCGGAUUCAUUGGGCGUAAAGGGUGCGUAGGUGGCGCGCUAAGUCAGGUGUGAAAUUUCGGAGCUUAACUCCGAAACUGCAUUUGAUACUGGCGUGCUUGAGGACUGGAGAGGAGACUGGAAUUCAUGGUGUAGCAGUGAAAUGCGUAGAUAUCGUAAGGAAGACCAGUGGCGAAGGCGAGUCUCUGGACAGUUACUGACACUGAGGCACGAAGGCCAGGGGAGCAAACGGG